rnacentral:tRNA from 1 species
CCAGUGCCUUACCAACUUGGCUAAUUCCCAAUUAUUAACAAAGGCUCUCAAGCAAGAACCCUUGAUGAUAGAGGGUAUUAAUCAGUG